rnacentral:lncRNA from 10 species
UCUCUCCUCCCAGCCAGGGCUUAGCGACAACACAGCUACAGGGGCAUGAGAGGCUCAGAGGCCUGGUCCUCUGGCUGGUGGAGCCUUGGAGGCAGUAGUGAAGAUCCCUGGAAGAGGGAGGCCAUGAAGAGGGAUGCAGAUACCUGGCAAGCCCACCUCCCUUCUAUGCCACCUGCCAGCCUUCUCUGACAUUCCCAAACCAGGGACCAACACCGCCAAUCAGGGAAGAUUUACACGCAUUUAAUUAGAGAACCAGUUCAAGUCUCUGGAGGCUGGAUGUCCGGCCUUCACCCUGGCACAGUGGGCUGUGGGCUCUGCGGUCCAGUUGCUAGUCAGGAGACGUCCUGGUGGCCCCUGAUUCGUGUUCACGUUCACAUCACUGUUCCUGCGGUUCUCUACACAUUCACCUUGGUAUUAGCUCUCUUUGCCCCUGGUCCAGCAUACCUCUUCAGCUUCCAAGUAUGGGUCACCUUCCUUAUGUAAAUUUCCUCUUGGGACUGUAUUUUCUUUUAAAUAAAAAUUGGCCUUGUCCGAGAACUGCCUGCACUGCUCAGAUGUCAGUCUCUAAAUUCCUAACACAAAUGAACAGAAGACAAAAUCAUUUGCAGGAUUCUGAAAUGAAGUUUUUCAGCGGAACACAGAGAAACAGUUAAAUUUUGCAAAGCUGUGAAACUGGAGAGGGGGCUGUCCUCCAAAUCUACCAACCAGAGACCUGGAAGGAAUUACUUGCAUGAGAUUCAUUUCUCUCUGUCUUUCUCUUUCUCCCCUCUCCCCACCUAUCUGCACCUACUUGAAUGGAUUUUCUAACCUGUUCCACUCCAAAUUGAUCAGUUAAUUAAGUUGAUCUCUACAAGACUGUUAAAGAACCAGGUCUUUUUCCUUUCAUGUUAUGCAGUUCCAAGUAAACU